rfam:Oryza rufipogon genomic scaffold, chr08
UCUAAGUGCAACCAUGAGUUUUCGUGCCCAACUUUAAUUGUCCGUCUUUUUUUUUAUAAUUAGUAUUUUUGUUGUUAUAAGAUGAUAAAACAUGAAUAGUACUUUACUCGUGACUUAUGUUUUUAAUUUUUUUCAAAAUUUUUUUAAAUAAGACGAACGAUCAAAUUUGAGCGUGGAAAACCAUGGCUGCACUUAAA